UUGUAUGUCAAAUUUUGGCUUGCAACACAAGGCAACUUAUUUAUUUAUUUUUUUUAUUUUUUAUUUUUUUUUAAAGUGACGCCAGCUGGGAACUUGACAAACUCGUAUGGUGGAGCAAUCGUAACACAAGGGAGUGGAGAGGUCCGGAGGCCAGCAGAUGCCCGGUGUCAGGUUGCAUAAACAAGAUGGAAGCCUUUCAUCAUCCGUCAUGUUGAUGAGCGGACCUCGAUGUUACCUCAGCGCAGAUGAGUCACGGCUGCGCUCCAUCUGUGUCUCUACAACCGAGCAAGCGUAGGAUUUCACCGUUGGACAGGAGAUUUCUGUGUGCUGCGCAACCCACCACCACCAGUAUGCUAUGAUGCGGAGUGCAGAGGCCGGCUCGUGAAGCAAAUAUCAGGAAGGUCAAGCUCCAAUGAUUAUUCAAUUUGGAUUCAAGGAUUAUGUGUUUAAUAAAAUCUAGAAAAAGACAAUGGCAACAUGCAAGGUUUGCAACUCAAAGAUAUCAGAAACAACUGACUUCUAACCUCAUCCAACGCUAUAAAACCCACAAAGAAAGCUAAACUACGUUAACUGCACAAUUUAGCUGGUCAAACAUUAACGAAGCUUGAGGAGACAGUCAAGGAAUAUGGUGACUGGCUUUGGAACCAUUAAAAAGUGAUGUGACUGUGAAUGUGCUAGCAGAGCUAACUGAUAAGUGCAGACACCGAUUGCAAAGUGGCUAAUAUGCAAAUAUAUGUUGUGACCUACCAAGCUUGUAUGACUCGUUAUAAUUUGCUUAACCCAAAUAAAGACUUGACUUGGAUAGGA